GCUGCCUAUCUGAAUCAGCAGCUGACUGCACUGAACACUAAAUUGCUAUCCAUCGACAAGAGGGUGACUGCUUUGGAAGCCAGAGUAAACUGUGGCCCCAGUGUGAAGGAGUUUAAGAGGAAAAGACGGGCCCACAAUCUCAACAUUGCGCUUCCCGUAAGACCUGCAAGAUACAAGACAGUAUGCAGGAACUUCCGGUACAGCCAACCAGACCUUGCGGCUCAGGUGGCAGGCAAGAAGAGUUCAGCCCAGAGUUGACAGAAAAGGAGGAGGCUACAGGGAUUGAGGCAGAGUGUACUAGCUGCAGAUGACAUGAACUUCUGGAAGGGCAUCAUGAUCGAUAGGAUGUCUGAUGAGGAGGACGGCACCUUUGAGGAGGUGUCUGGGUGGAUCGUGCGAUCGUGCUCCUCCUUUCGCAGCCAGGAGCUCACCGACCUGUGUGCCACACCUCAGGCAAGACUGGAAGCUAAUCCGAAGUACACGGCUACACACCACAGACGUCUGCACAGUGGACCACAUUCAGACAGAAUGCCUCCAAAUACAUAUGACUCAUAGGCGGCAAAAAGGCAUUUCAAGGCUCAUCUGAUGGCCCAGGUCUGGCUGUAGGCUAACUUUUGUUCCAGACGUUGGCUGGACACUUUAUUGGCUAGGUGAGUAGUUUAUGCUAUGUGUCAAUAAAGCUAAAGCUAAAGCUACUGUUAAUCAA